AAAAUGUAACAAGGUUUCCGUAGGUGAACCUGCGGAAGGAUCAUUACCUAGAGUUUGUAGACUUCGGUCUGCUACCUCUUACCCAUGUCUUUUGAGUACCUUCGUUUCCUCGGCGGGUCCGCCCGCCGAUUGGACAACAUUCAAACCCUUUGCAGUUGCAAUCAGCGUCUGAAAAAACAUAAUAGUUACAACUUUCAACAACGGAUCUCUUGGUUCUGGCAUCGAUGAAGAACGCAGCGAAAUGCGAUAAGUAGUGUGAAUUGCAGAAUUCAGUGAAUCAUCGAAUCUUUGAACGCACAUUGCGCCCCUUGGUAUUCCAUGGGGCAUGCCUGUUCGAGCGUCAUUUGUACCUUCAAGCUCUGCUUGGUGUUGGGUGUUUUGUCUCGCCUCUGCGUGUAGACUCGCCUUAAAACAAUUGGCAGCCGGCGUAUUGAUUUCGGAGCGCAGUACAUCUCGCGCUUUGCACUCAUAACGGCGACGUCCAAAAGUACAUUUUUACACUCUGACCUCGGAUCAGGUAGCUGCCCGUA
rnacentral:rRNA from 1 species